rnacentral:rRNA from 1 species
UACGGAGGGUGCGAGCGUUGUCCGGAAUCACUGGGCGUAAAGGCGCGUAGGCGGCGCGGCAAGUCCAUGGUGAAAGCUCGUGGCUCACUGCGAGUCGGCCAAGGAUACUGCUGCGCUCGAGCACUGUAGAGGCAGGUGGAAUUCCGGGUGUAGCGGUGGAAUGCGUAGAGAUCCGGAAGAACACCGGUGGCGAAGGCGGCCUGCCUGGGCAGUAGCCUGACGCUGAGGCG